UGGGGCGUCGUCCAACGGAAGGACACCGGGCUUUGAAUCCGGUAAUGAUGGUUCGAUUCCAUCCGCCCCAG
rnacentral:tRNA from 3 species